rnacentral:rRNA from 1 species
UUAGUUGCCAUCAUUCAGUUGGGCACUCUAGCGAGACUGCCGGUAAUAAACCGGAGGAAGGUGGGGAGUGACGUCAAAUCAUCAUGCCCCUUACUGACCUGGGCUACACACGUGCUACAAUGGUUGGUACAACGAGUUGCGAGUCGGUGACGGCGAGCUAAUCUCUUAAAGCCAAUCUCAGUUCGGAUUGUAGGCUGCAACUCGCCUACAUGAAGUCGGAAUCGCUAGUAAUCGCGGAUCAGCACGCCGCGGUGAAUACGUUCCCGGGCCUU